rnacentral:rRNA from 1 species
GAUGAACGCUGGCGGCGUGCCUAAUACAUGCAAGUCGAGCGAACAGACGAGGAGCUUGCUCCUCUGACGUUAGCGGCGGACGGGUGAGUAACACGUGGAUAACCUACCUAUAAGACUGGGAUAACUUCGGGAAACCGGAGCUAAUACCGGAUAACAUGUUGAACCGCAUGGUUCAACAGUGAAAGACGGUCUUGCUGUCGCUUAUAGAUGGAUCCGCGCCGCAUUAGCUAGUUGGUAAGGUAACGGCUUACCAAGGCAACGAUGCGUAGCCGACCUGAGAGGGUGAUCGGCCACACUGGAACUGAGACACGGUCCAGACUCCUACGGGAGGCAGCAGUAGGGAAUCUUCCGCAAUGGGCGAAAGCCUGACGGAGCAACGCCGCGUGAGUGAAGAAGGUCUUCGGAUCGUAAAACUCUGUUAUUAGGGAAGAACAAAUGUAUAAGUAACUAUGCACGUCUUGACGGUACCUAAUCAGAAAGCCACGGCUAACUACGUG